UUGCCUACGGGGGGCAGCAGUGAGGAAUAUUGGUCAAUGGCCGAGAGGCUGAACCAGCCAAGUCGCGUGAGGGAUGACGGCCCUACGGGUUGUAAACCUCUUUUGUCGGGGAGCAAGACCCGCCUCGUGCAGGCGGAGCGAGAGUACCCGAAGAAAAAGCAUCGGCUAACUCCGUGCCGGCAGCCGCGGUAAUACGGAGGAUGCGAGCGUUAUCCGGAUUUAUUGGGUUUAAAGGGUGCGUAGGCGGGAUUUUAAGUUAGUGGUAAAACGUCGGGGCUUCACCUUGAUUGGCCAUUAAAACUUGG
rnacentral:rRNA from 1 species